rnacentral:rRNA from 1 species
GAUCCUGGCUCAGGAUGAACGCUGGCGGCGUGCUUAACACAUGCAAGUCGAGCGAAGCACUUUACUUGGAUUUCUUCGGAAUGACGAGUAUUGUGACUGAGCGGCGGACGGGUGAGUAACGCGUGGGUAACCUGCCUCAUACAGGGGGAUAACAGUUAGAAGUGACUGCUAAUACCGCAUAAGACCACAGCACCGCAUGGUGCGAAGGUAAACUCGGUGUAUGAGAGUCGGACCCCGG